CCUACGGGAGGCAGCAGUGGGGAAUAUUGGGCAAUGGACGCAAGUCUGACCCAGCAACGCCGCGUGAAGGAAGAAGGCUUUCGGGUUGUAAACUUCUUUUGCCGGGGAGCAACGGGCGCCACGUGUGGCGCCACUGAGAGUACCCGGAGAAAAAGCAUCGGCUAACUCCGUGCCAGCAGCCGCGGUAAUACGGGGGAAGCGAGGUUUGUCCGGAUUUAUUGGGUUGAAAGGGUGGGUAGGCGGAUCGGUAAGGAAGUGGUCAAAUUGAGGGGCUCAACCCCUUCCCGCCAUUGAAACUGGCGAUCUUGAGUGGAAGAGAAGUAUGCGGAAUGCGUGGUGUAGCGGUGAAAUGCAUAGAUAUUACGCAGAACCCCGGUUGCGAAGGCAGCAUGCUGGCUUCCGACUGACGCUGAAGCACGAAAGCGUGGGGAUCGAACAGGAUUAGAUACCCGGGUAGUC
rnacentral:rRNA from 1 species